GUUGGGUAGGGGAGCGUUCUGUAAGCCUGCGAAGGUGUACUGUGAGGUAUGCUGGAGGUAUCAGAAGUGCGAAUGCUGACAUAAGUAACGAUAAUGCGGGUGAAAAACCCGCACGCCGGAAGACCAAGGGUUCCUGUCCAACGUUAAUCGGGGCAGGGUGAGUCGACCCCUAAGGCGAGGCUGAAAAGCGUAGUCGAUGGGAAACGGGUUAAUAUUCCCGUACUGGUGGUAACUGCGAUGGGGGAACGGAGAAGGCUAGGUUGUCCGGGCGACGGUCGUCCCGGUUCAAGCAGGUAGGCAGAGUGAUUAGGCAAAUCCGGUCACUUAAUGCUGAGAUGUGAUGACGAACCACCAAGGUGGUGAAGCAAUUGAUGCCCCGCUUCCAGGAAAAGCCUCUAAGCUUCAGGUUACCAACAAUCGUACCCCAAACCGACACAGGUGGUCAGGUAGAGAAUACUCAGGCGCUUGAGAGAACUCGGGUGAAGGAACUAGGCAAAAUGGUGCCGUAACUUCGGGAGAAGGCACGCUGGCGGUAGGUAAAGUCCCUCGCGGACGGCGCUGAAGCCAGUCGAAGAUACCAGCUGGCUGCAACUGUUUAUUAAAAACACAGCACUGUGCAAACACGAAAGUGGACGUAUACGGUGUGACGCCUGCCCGGUGCUGGAAGGUUAAUUGAUGGGGUUAGCGUAAGCGAAGCUCCUGAUCGAAGCCCCAGUAAACGGCGGCCGUAACUAUAACGGUCCUAAGGUAGCGAAAUUCCUUGUCGGGUAAGUUCCGACCUGCACGAAUGGCGUAAUGAUGGCCAGGCUGUCUCCACCCGAGACUCAGUGAAAUUGAACUCGCUGUGAAGAUGCAGUGUACCCGCGGCAAGACGGAAAGACCCCGUGAACCUUUACUAUAGCUUGACACUGAACAUUGAGCCUUGAUGUGUAGGAUAGGUGGGAGGCUUUGAAGUGUGGACGCCAGUCUGCAUGGAGCCAACCUUGAAAUACCACCCUUUAACGUUUGAUGUUCUAACCUAGGCCCAUAAACUGGGUCGGGGACCGUGUCUGGUGGGUAGUUUGACUGGGGCGGUCUCCUCCUAAAGAGUAACGGAGGAGCACGAAGGUUGGCUAAGCAUGGUCGGACAUCAUGCGGUUAGUGCAAAGGCAUAAGCCAGCUUGACUGCGAGAGUGACGGCUCGAGCAGGUACGAAAGUAGGUCUUAGUGAUCCGGUGGUUCUGAAUGGAAGGGCCAUCGCUCAACGGAUAAAAGGUACUCCGGGGAUAACAGGCUGAUACCGCCCAAGAGUUCAUAUCGACGGCGGUGUUUGGCACCUCGAUGUCGGCUCAUCACAUCCUGGGGCUGAAGUAGGUCCCAAGGGUAUGGCUGUUCGCCAUUUAAAGUGGUACGCGAGCUGGGUUUAGAACGUCGUGAGACAGUUCGGUCCCUAUCUGCCGUGGGCGUUGGAAGAUUGAGAGGGGUUGCUCCUAGUACGAGAGGACCGGAGUGAACGCACCACUGGUGUUCGGGUUGUCAUGCCAAUGGCAUUGCCCGGUAGCUAAGUGCGGAAGAGAUAACCGCUGAAAGCAUCUAAGCGGGAAACUUGCCUCGAGAUGAGUCUUCCCUGUCGCUUUAAG
rnacentral:rRNA from 1 species